rnacentral:lncRNA from 1 species
AUGCAUCUCGCCUGGCUAAGUCCAGACUCAGGUCAAAGGCUGGCAUUUGCCCUGUGUUUCCCUUUCUUCUUUUUUCCAGGCAUCUGUAAACUGAAGAUAGACAGAAUGAGAUGCUCUGUUGCCAGUGUACUAUGCUGCUUCCUUUUAUAUGGACUGAGUCAAGAUGGGAUCUUGUACGGAGGGAGCAGCAAUGUUACCUGGUGUGGAUGCAGAUGCUUUGAAAAGAAUCUUGUACAGUUUAGAGUUAAUUAGUAGACGUUCAAAGUUCUUUUACAAGGGUUCUUGAUCUUCUUUGUAUCAUGUUCCCUUCUGUCAAUAUGGUGGAAACUAUGUACUUCUCAGAAUAAUGUUUUGAAAUGCAUAAAAUAAAGUCCAUGGCAUUAUAAAGGAAACUAAAGGU